rnacentral:rRNA from 1 species
UACGAAGGGGGCUAGCGUUGCUCGGAAUGACUGGGCGUAAAGGGCGCGUAGGCGGUUUGUACAGUCAGGUGUGAAAUUCCCGGGCUCAACCUGGGGGCUGCACUUGAUACGUAGGAACUUGAGUGGGGAAGAGGGUCGUGGAAUUCCCAGUGUAGAGGUGAAAUUCGUAGAUAUUGGGAAGAACACCGGUGGCGAAGGCGGCGACCUGGUCCUUGACUGACGCUGAGGCGCGAAGCGUGG